rnacentral:lncRNA from 10 species
UCCAUCUGGACUUGAAUGAAAGGAAUGCUAAUCAUCCUGGAUGUGGAUCCGGGCAAGACAAAAUUAUCUCUUGCCUAUUCUCUGUCCAUGUGUUUGUGUGGGAUUGAUGCCAACUCCAGGUUCCAGGCAUGAGACAAUGAUCUGAACCUGGCCAGUAAGAGCACGUUCUUCCCAGCCACACUGACUGUUUCAUGCAUAGUCAUCAAAAGGAAAGCAUAGAUAAAAGAGGGAAACGGAAGAUUCUUGAUUACAUUGUUUGAACUCACAGAAAUAGUAAUGCUAAAUCAUCUCUAACACUAGCAUUUUCAAUAAGUAUAAGGGCUAUGUCUGUCUUGAUUACUAUAUUAUUCACAUGUAAUAGGAAAGUACCUAGAAGAUAACAGGAAGAUAACUAUUUGUUUAAUUGAAUUAAAUCAAAUUCAAUUUAAUAUUUUAAGAUUUUCCUGGACUGUAAAAUAUAAUUUUGAUGAACGGAGAAAAGAGCAAAUUGUAUCACACAAUGAAAUGUGUGCUAAAUAGCCCUGAAUUAAUUGGUUUGCCUUUCACUGGACAUUUCACCUUAAAUCUUACAAUUUCUUAUCAUUUUUAUGGUCUCAGCUCGAAUUUUAAGCCAAAGUACAAGAGGAAAGGCCUGUAUCACACAAGUCCACUAAUUUCCUCACAGUAUUCAGAAGACUUUAUUUUCACCAUAUUAGAGUUUUUUCCUACAUCUUAAGUAUAUUCUUUUAUUCGAUAUAUAGUUUAUUAGAGAGAUACGCUCCAUUGUUCUCUCUUUGUUUAUAGGCAAAAACUUGGUGAGUAGCUAUUUCACAAAGGGAGAACAGGAAAAUUAGAAGUUGGGGGUAGGAAGAGAAGGAGUUAAGUUUUGAAUGUAUUGGAAUGAGGCAUCAUGGGAUAUCUGGGUGGAGGUAUCUCUCACAUACAGUCUGCAGUUUAAAAGAAAGCUUUGUGUUGGAAAUCACAUUUCAGAGUUAUCAUGUUGUAGAUGUUAAGUAGUUGUACACAGAUCAGUACAAGAGCCCAUUCAAGGUGAACAUCUAGACUAAGAAAUGGAAAAUGCAACUGGGACAAAAGAAUAUUUAAGGGUUACAGGCCAGGCGCAGUGGCUCACACCUGUUAUCCCAGCACUUUGGGAGCCAGCGACAGGUGGAUCACGAAGUCAGGAAAUCAAGACCAUCCUGGCCAACAUGGUGAAACCCUGUCUCUACUAAGAAUACAAAAAUUAGCUGGGCGUGGUGGUGUGCACUUGUAGUCCCAGUUACUUGAGAGGUUAAGGCAGAAGGAUUGCUUGAACCCGGGAGGCGGAGGUUUCAGUAAGCUGAGAUCAUGCCACUGCACUCCAGCCUGGUGACAGAGUGACACUCCGUUUAAAAAAUAAAUAAAUAAAUAAAAAGAAUAUUUAAGGGGUACAAAGAAGAGCACACAGAAAGGUAAACAUAAUAGCAGACAAGACAGAAAAUAUUUCAUGAAGCACAAUUAAUGUGAACUGAACACAAGUUGAGUAAAAUUCAUUAACUCUUGUGUUCAAUGAACAUUUAUUAAACCACUACUAUGUGUCAGGUACUUUUCUGAAUGUUGAUAAAACAGGACUGUAUGAAACUGGGCGGAAAAAGUCUCUCUUCUCCUAGAUCUUAUAGUUGCUCAGUCCUCUGCCUGCUAUGCACUGGCAUUACAGAGGAGCGUAGACAAGGAUCCCAUCAAUGGAGCAAGAAGUGUUGUCCCAUUUAUGCAAAGAAUAUCCAUUCCUAAUUCGGGAUACUGUAAGACUUUCCAGGAAGAACAUGCUAUCACCACAUUGACCAGAGUCAAGAGGAGAGAUUGAUUGAAAAUGCCCAUUGGAUUGAGUGCAGUAAUCUUGGAGGCCUCCCUUACAUAAGGUAAAAACUUGCAGAGGGGGUGGUGUGACUGUACUGGGUACCCAUGGUAAGGGGAUCCCAGGAAAAAAUCAUACUUGUUACCACACCAACUGACCUCAAAUGUUGUAGUUGGAGGUGGCAUCAUGUUCAGAGCAGUCACAGGUAACAGCUGACAAAUGGACCCAAACAGAGCUGAAGCACAAAAUUUGGCCCUGAAUGUAACUUUUCUUCCAUAUGAGUAACAGUAGCCCAAGACCAGCAUUUCAACACCGGUCUAGUUAUUCAGUCUCAUGCUAUAGUGGGAAAGGAACAUAAUGUUGGCCAGCAAAGUCAGUCUGGUCACCAGACUGUUCUGAAACCAGGGGCCUGAGACAGCCACAUGAGGGAGUUUCAGAUCAUCUCAGGACAUCUGGUAAAUGCCACACAGGGAGUUAGUGGUGGCAAAGCUCUCCAAAAGAAAAAAAAAAAAAAUAGGAACCAUAACUUGUAAGAUUCACAGUGGAAGUUCAGGACACACUGUUGUGAUAGUAAUGCCAGUGCCAACAAGAUUUAAAGCUUCAAGGAAGACAUUUUUGGUCCCUGAGCAGUGAGCAUAUGGAGCUCUGACAAGAUGGCACUGUUGGCCCUGGCUGGUCUCAGCCACUGAAAGAUGACUUACAAAAAUUGAGAAUAGCCAUCCAAAACACAGGGUACCCAGAGAUACUAUCCUGGGACAAAGGCCCUGCUUUCAGGGUCCUAGUGUCAUACCGCACCACAUUGCCCAAAUAUACUGCUAGCCCUCAAAUCCUUGUCUCAGGGUUAGCACCUAAAACAGGGUCAUUUAAAAUUAAGAAAGUCAAUAUUUAAAUAAUGAACAUAAAUGAUUGCUUAUCCUGACUGAAUUUGGUGCAAAUCUCAGUUCCAGCACAUGAUCUGAAGAAACAGAUAAAUGAUUUAAUUUUAAAAGCCUCAAUUUCCUUCUCAAGAAAAUGAGAGCAAUUCCUCAUAGACUGUUCUAAGGACUUAAAGAGAUCCCUUGUGCUAAGUUCCUCAUACUGUUCCUGGAGCAAAAGCGUACUUAUUAAAAAGCAAGUUUCAGUAAUUAACAUAUUAUUCACUGCAAAUUUUCAUGGUAAAAUAAAGUGGAUCUUGUCUAUCCUUCAAUUCUUUCAUCAGAAUGAGGGAAAUAUCUCCACAUGAAAAUAUUAGUGAAACAUCUUCACAUGAAAAUAUUAAGAUUUAUUCAUAGGAAUGAAUCUCUGUGUAGGAAACCAAAUAACUUAGAUGCUAAGAAGACUAUAUUUUAGAUAAAAUUGUCAACCCUCCAUCAAAUAAAUAAAUCAAAACCCUAGAUGCUUGAAAAAAUUUGAUUAUUUACUAACACACUUUUGUAGUUAAAAUAAACUGACAUAUGUUCAUGCUUAUCAGUGCUAUUUAAAAAAAAAAGUGAGCUCAAAUAUAUCCUGGUGAAUCAAUACCUAUUAACCUACCUGUAAAGGACACCUUUCAGCCAAAUUUCUUUCAUGAUUUGAAACUCCCACUGGGGCCAAAAGAACACCUGUGUUUUCGUAUCAUCUUUUCCAGAUGUGGAGCAGAGGAGAGAAAGGAGCUUGAGACUUAAAGUUGUCUGAGGUCAAAGAUCAAAAUAUUGAAUCAGAAUUUUUAUUACAAUUAAUCCACUAAAGGGAUGACAUAAAUACAAAUGCUUAUCACACCAACAGUCAUAAUUUUUGUGAUAUGGUUUAUCCACUUUUCUCCAUUGUUCUUACCACUACUUGGCAAACCUUAUUGCUGUUUAUUGUCUGCCUUUCAUGCUAGAAUAUAAGUUCCACCAUAUCAGAUUCUUGCUCUGUUUUAUUCACUGCUGUAUCCUCAGCAUGUAGAAUAAUAUCUGGCAUAUAGUAGGUGCUUAAUAAAAAGUUUUUGGGUGAGUUAAUUGGAAAAAGGCACACUCCAGUAGCAGAUAUUUGAAAAGAAAUCUUGAAAGAGGCAGGACUCAAGCUUAAGUUUACAGGAAGAAUGUGAUCUCACUAGGCAAACAUAAAAGGUUGUUUAAAGCAGAAAAAUUUUGCAACAUAAUAAGUAGUUUGGCUUAAUUUUGUAUUUGCACUUUGGUGAUUUUUUUUCACUCCACUUUGCCUCCAAUUUUCCCACAUUAACUUGUCAUUUAGUAUUUACUUAGGGUUGUCUCACCUGUUUAUUGAAGCAUAACAGAAUUCCAGUGAGAAUGGCUGACACUGAUUGAGUAAACGCUCUUUGGUCAUCUUGUUUUGUCUGUAGCAUUAGGUAUGGCUCACUGGUGGUAUUAAUGGAGAAGUUGAAAACAACUGCAUAAUAUAUGAAUCCAACAAACUGCACCUGAAGUAUCAGAACAACAUUUCAAACGUGUUUAUUAAAGUAUUAGCACAAAGACUAAAACUCAAAACAUAAAUUGAAUCUGCAUUAUUAUGGACUUACGAUACUUAUGCAGCUAAACAGAGUCAGCAUUACAUUAAAAAUAUGCAGAAUGCUUAUGGUGAUUUCAUAGCAUCUAUCUUAACAGUUGUAAUAGCUUCUUGCCUAAGUUCUCUACUUCAAAUUUUCCCUACUUCACUCAGAUAUACACAUUGUUAGAAGAUUAAUUUUUCUGAAGCAAAGCUGAUGUUUGAUUACUCCUUUCACACAUUUGUUCAACAAAUAUAUAGACCAAUUUUAAUAUGCAAGACAAUGCACUAGAUACUGGGAUACACAUAGACAUGGCCCUUGUCCUUACAGAUUCCAGAAAUUUAGUGAUUCUCUAUUAUCUAGAACAGCAUUUUGCAUUGAUGUUUAUAUGAACUAGAGUAAAUAUGACCAAUGUCAAGCAAUGUGGAAAAAUUUGGAUGCAGUAAAUAAGUUUUAAAUGUACAAUAUACCUCUGGAUUUUCAAAGGUAAAUAUAGUAUUUAGUAUAUUCUGAAUUUUUGAUUCAAUUAUUUGUGUAUAUGUGUGCUUAUGUGGAGAAGCUUUGGCUAUGGCAAAAAAAAGUCACAUUCUGCAGAAAUGCUUCUUAAUUUUGUAUAUCAUGUAAUUUCAUAAAUGUUCUUCUAUAUGUGUAUUUGCACAAAGAAAUUUCAAUAAACACUUGUUGAAGGGUAAAAUACCUUACUGUCCCAUGAAAAAUAGUGAAAAAUUAGACCUUAGAUUUUUAAAGAUGGUAUUGUGGAGAUCGUGAUGGAAUAAUUGCAAAACGCCUUACAAGAAAUAAUA